rnacentral:misc_RNA from 1 species
GAGACCAGAUAAAAAGAAGGUUAUAGGAAUAUGCAACUAGAAGCAAGAUUUGGAAAGUAUCAGUAAACAAGAAGCAAGAUUUCCCCAAUCUUGGUUAAACAUGUGUGACUAUAUGAGCAAUAUAUGAUAGCAGUGAAUGUUGAUGCUGGGAUUUGAUUGUGAACUUACUAAAAGCUUGUUAUUCGUAAAUUAAAAUAAUUAAAUGAGAGCGUGUUUUCCAUGCAAAGGGUGACUGCUAAUCAGCCAUGAAAUCUAAUAAGAUGAACAAGGUUCCAUUUACGAGAAUUCCUUGUUAGGAUGAAUAUGCUAGGCAACCCCAUGAAAAGGGAAAACUGUUUGACCACAAAAUAAUCUCACUUCAAAAUCUCCCACUAGUGUUUUGACCCUGCCGUUAACAAGUCUGGCUUUCCAGCUCUGCUAGUCGCCGAUCAAUUUUCACCUCAGGAUAUGAAAUUAAAAAGCAAUUUAGAAUCAAGUAAUCAACCCAAAUGCUCCUCGUAUGCCUCUACCAAGGUAUGGCCGUUGACAAUAUUUGUUGUUCCAAUA